ensembl:snRNA U6 U6 spliceosomal RNA
GUACUAGCUUUAGCAGCACAUAUAUUAAAAUUGAAACAAUACAGAGAUUAGCAUAGUCCCUAUGCGAGGAUGGCACGCAAACUCACAAAGCGUUCCAUAUUUUU